UACAGAGGGGGCAAGCGUUGUUCGGAAUUACUGGCGUAAAGGGCACGUAGGCGGCCUGCUAAGUCGAACGUGAAAUCCCUGGCUCAACCCAGGAACUGCGUCCGAUACUGGUUGGCUUGAAUCCGGGAGAGGGAUGUGGAAUUCCAGGUGUAGCGGUGAAAUGCGUAGAUAUCUGGAGGAACACCGGUGGCGAAGGCGACAUCCUGGACCGGUAUUGACGCUGAGGCGCGAAAGCCAGGGGAGCAAACGGGG
rnacentral:rRNA from 1 species